rnacentral:rRNA from 1 species
AACGAACGCUGGCGGCAUGCCUAAUACAUGCAAGUCGAACGAGCCCUUCGGGGCUAGUGGCGCACGGGUGCGUAACGCGUGGGAAUCUGCCCUUGGGUUCGGAAUAACGUCUGGAAACGGACGCUAAUACCGGAUGACGACGAAAGUCCAAAGAUUUAUCGCCCAGGGAUGAGCCCGCGUAGGAUUAGCUAGUUGGUGAGGUAAAGGCUCACCAAGGCGACGAUCCUUAGCUGGUCUGAGAGGAUGAUCAGCCACACUGGGACUGAGACACGGCCCAGACUCCUACGGGAGGCAGCAGUAGGGAAUAUUGGACAAUGGGGGCAACCCUGAUCCAGCAAUGCCGCGUGAGUGAUGAAGGCCUUAGGGUUGUAAAGCUCUUUUACCCGGGAUGAUAAUGACAGUACCGGGAGAAUAAGCCCCGGCUAACUCCGUGCCAGCAGCCGCAGUAAAAC